rnacentral:lncRNA from 1 species
AACUAUAUGGCAUACAUAACGACCUACACAUGAUAGAUAACACAUAACAUUCAUACUAGUAGGCGCAACAUGUCAAAGUACAUGCUAGGUACCAAACCUAGACAUGAGAAGGAGUGGGACAUGCAACUUUCAAUGUAAACAAUUUAAGUACAAGUUACCGCAAAGAGGCACAUUGGAUAUGGGAUAUGGGCUCGAUAAUCCAAAUGACUUGGCUUGAGAUAAUACGAAUGAUGAAGAGUCCUCAAAUCUUCAUUGUGUAUCCAAGUCUCCAA